rnacentral:rRNA from 1 species
UACAGAGGUCCCAAGCGUUGUUCGGAUUCACUGGGCGUAAAGGGUGCGUAGGUGGCCAGGUAAGUUCGGUGUGAAAGCUCGGAGCUUAACUCCGAAAUGGCAUUGAAUACUAUCUGGCUGGAGGGUCGGAGGGGAGACUGGAAUUCUCGGUGUAGCAGUGAAAUGCGUAGAUAUCGAGAGGAACACCAGUGGCGAAGGCGAGUCUCUGGACGACUCCUGACACUGAGGCACGAAAGCCAGGGGAGCAAAAGGG